UACGUAGGUGGCGAGCGUUGUCCGGAAUUACUGGGUGUAAAGCGCGUGUAGGCGGGAGGCCAAGUCUGUGGUGAAAUCGCUCGGCUUAACUGGGCGGGGUCCAUGGAAACUGGUCCACUGGAGGUCGGUAGAGGCAAGUGGAAUUCCCGGUGUAGUGGUGAAAUGCGUAGAGAUCGGGAGGAACACCAGUGGCGAAGGCGGCUUGCUGGGCCGGACCUGACGCUGAGACGCGAAAGCGUGGGGAGCAAACGGG
rnacentral:rRNA from 1 species